rnacentral:rRNA from 1 species
AUUGAACGCUGGCGGCAGGCUUAACACAUGCAAGUCGAACGAUGACUCUCUAGCUUGCUAGAGAAGAUUAGUGGCGGACGGGUGAGUAACAUUUAGGAAUCUGCCUAGUAGUAGGGGAUAGCUCGGGGAAACUCGAAUUAAUACCGCAUACGACCUACGGGUGAAAGGGGGCGCAAGCUCUUGCUAUUAGAUGAGCCUAAAUCAGAUUAGCUAGUUGGUGGGGUAAAGGCCUACCAAGGCGACGAUCUGUAACUGGUCUGAGAGGAUGAUCAGUCACACCGGAACUGAGACACGGUCCGGACUCCUACGGGAGGCAGCAGUGGGGAAUAUUGGACAAUGGGGGCAAACCCCUGAUCCAGCCAUGCCGCGUGUGUGAAAGAAAGGGCCCUUUUGGUUGUAAAAGCCACCUUAAAGCCAGGGAGG